UCGGGACAUAUGAGAGUUCGAUCAUUUAUGUAUGAUUCCUCGUCCACUCAACUUUCUAAUACAAGGGGUUUCGAAGAGAAAAAUCCUUUCUUGGGCCCUAAGCUGACCUAUGUAAAUUGAUGAUA